GGUACAACAACAUGUGGGAUAUAUACAGUUGUAACAGAGAGUCGGCGCUAAUAUGUAAUUUGGAGUAUUGUUAAGCGAUCGGCUGCAUACACGAGACUGGGAAAACUCUGUCAUGUAGUUUAUUUAGGUUCCUAGUCGAUGCUACAGUAAGGAAACGGUGGAUACAAAGAUGUAGACACAAAGUUACGAAACCUGCUGAAGCAGAAGCAUCUGCUUCAACGUACAUGUAGGAACCGAAGUUGAUAUUGCUACCAAUAUAUCUGUACCAGACAACAUUGAAGUGCAUCUACAUGAUCACGAGUAUACAGCAUCAAACCCUCAACAUUUAAAAAGCUUCCCUUGAAGACUAGGAUGUUGUAAACUUGCAGUGAGAAAUAUACCUGCUUAAUUAAAGGAAACCAUCCUUGACAAUUGGUAACAUCAUAACUGAAAGACCCUGGAAAUGGAUCAUGAACACUGUUGGGAGUGCCCAUCCAACUGAAAUAUAAAAGUCAGAAGAAUUGAAGAUUGCAAUGGAUGCAACAGAAGUGACCUAAUAUGACCAAAUUGAUAUAAAUAUCCAGUCUUUCGCUUACAGUAAUUACAAGAGUCACCAGAAAGAAAAGACUUUAAUGUGUAUUACACCUAAUGCAGCUCAUUUCCAAUAUGUAUGCUGGAUACAAAUCUAAUUUGGCAAUUGUGAACCAUUUUGGCAUAUUAGAGAAGUUGCAAGUUGGUGAUAUAUUCCUGGCGGACAAAGGAUUGUGUGUAUGUGACAAACUUCCAAAUGACAUGACACUUAAUAUCCCAUUCUUUCUUACAAAUAAAUCCCGCUUUUAAAAAGAGGAUGCACAACUUUGCUAUAAAAUUUCCAGAUGCAGAAUCCAUGUUGGAUGGGAAAAUGAGAGAAUGAUUUUUUUUUUAAAUUCCUUAGUCAUAUUCCAUCAUAGUGUAGAUAUUGAUCUGACAAAAUAUUUCAGAUUUGUGUGGAUCAUGUGAAUUUGCACCACGAGAGGAACGUUAAACAAUAUACAAUCGAACAUAAAGCCUUUUGCUCUCAUUCUGAAGGUUUUCAAAUCUGCAUUAUUAAAAAAGAAGUAAAAUCCAUUGUUUUAGUAAAUGCAUGUAAUUGAAUGAUUUUUGUAAAGCUGGACACUGUGUCUAUACAUACAUGUAUUUUGGUUCAUCUAAAAUAAGAAAAACUCUGUCUAUAAUGUUUAUUCAAUAAAUAUACAUGUAAUUACAUAA